AGCAGCCGCGGUAAUUCCAGCUCCAAUAGCGUAUAUUAAAGUUGUUGCAGUUAAAAAGCUCGUAGUUGAAUUUCGGGGUUAGUAGGUUGGUCAUGCCUCUGGUAUGUACUGGUCUCACUGAUUCCUCCUUCCUGAUGAGCCUUAAUGCCAUUAAUUUGGUGUUGCGGGGAAUUUGGACUGUUACUUUGAAAAAAUUAGAGUGUUUAAAGCAGGCUCACGCUUGAAUACAUUAGCAUGGAAUAAUGAAAUAGGACGUUUGAUUCUAUUUUGUUGGUUUCUAGGAUCGACGUAAUGAUUAAUAGGGAUAGUUGGGGGCAUUAGUAUUCAAUUGUCAGAGGUGAAAUUCUUGGAUUUAUUGAAGACUAACUACUGCGAAAGCAUUUGCCAAGGAUGUUUUCAUUAAUCAAGAACGAAAGUUAGGGGAUCGAAGACGAUCAGAUACCGUCGUAGUCUUAACCAUAAACUAUGCCGACUAGGGAUCGGAUGAUGUAAUUUUUAAUGA
rnacentral:rRNA from 1 species